GAUCCUGGCUCAGGAUGAACGCUAGCUACAGGCUUAACACAUGCAAGUCGAGGGGCAGCAUUCCAGUUUGCUUGCAAACUGGAGAUGGCGACCGGCGCACGGGUGAGUAACACGUAUCCAACCUGCCGAUGACUCGGGGAUAGCCUUUCGAAAGAAAGAUUAAUACCCAAUGGCAUAAUAGAACCGCAUGGUUUGAUUAUUAAAGAAUUUCGGUUAUCGAUGGGGAUGCGUUCCAUUAGG
rnacentral:rRNA from 1 species